UCGUGCUAGGCGGGGAGCUAGCGGUUCCCUGUACCCGAAAUCCGCUCACGCGGGGCACAACCCCCAUCCUCGGGGCGCUUUCGUCCGGUGUAUGGGCUCGCGACACGUGGUGUUGAUGGGAAGGUCCCAUUCGAUGGGCGACUGCGAACCAGGUCAGGUCCGGAAGGAAGCAGCCUUAAGCGGACCCGCCCAUGCGCAGUGGGGUCACCUUGCCGGAGCCGGCGGCGCGAGUACCGCCCGGGUUGGACGUCACAACGAUGGGUGCACGG
rnacentral:SRP_RNA from 1 species